rnacentral:rRNA from 1 species
CUAAGUUUGAUGGCGACCGGCGCACGGGUGAGUAACACGUAUCCAACCUGCCGAUGACUCGGGGAUAGCCUUUCGAAAGAAAGAUUAAUACCCGAUGGCAUAGUUCUUCCGCAUGGUAGAACUAUUAAAGAAUUUCGGUCAUCGAUGGGGAUGCGUUCCAUUAGGUUGUUGGCGGGGUAACGGCCCACCAAGCCUUCGAUGGAUAGGGGUUCUGAGGGGAAGGUCCCCCACAUUGGAACUGAGACACGGUCCAAACUCCUACGGGAGGCAGCAUG